GAUGAACGCUGGCGGCGUGCCUAAUACAUGCAAGUCGAGCGAACGGACGAGAAGCUUGCUUCUCUGAUGUUAGCGGCGGACGGGUGAGUAACACGUGGAUAACCUACCUAUAAGACUGGGAUAACUUCGGGAAACCGUAGCUAAUACCGGAGAAUAUUUUGAACCGCAUUGUUCAAAAGUGAAAGACGGUCUUGCUGUCACUUAUAGAUGGAUCCGCGCUGCAUUAGAUAGUUGGUAAGGUCACGGCUUACCACGGCAACGAGGCAUAGACGACCUGAUAGGGUGAUCGGCCACACGGGAAGUGAGACACGGGCCAGACGCCUACGGGAGGCAGCAGUAGGGAAUCGUACGCAACGGGCGAAAGCCUGACGGAGCAACGCCGCGUGAGUGAUGAAGGUCUUCGGAGCGUAAAACUCUGUUAUUAGGGAAGAACAUAUGUGUAAGUAACUGUGCACAGCGUGACGGUACCUAAUCAGAAAGCCACGGCUAACUACGUG
rnacentral:rRNA from 1 species